ensembl:rRNA 5S_rRNA 5S ribosomal RNA
UGGCACAGCCAUAUCACCCUGCAGCCCAAGACUGGUUAAUCCCUGAAGCUAAGCAGGGCUGAGCUUUGUCAGUAACUGGAUGUGAGACCACAUGGGAAAACUAGGUUGCUGUUGGAA